rnacentral:rRNA from 1 species
UACGGAAGGCAACAGGGGGAAUAUUGCACAAUGGGCGCAAGCCUGAUGCAGCCAUGCCGCGUGUAUGAAAAAGGCCUUCGGGUUGUAAAGUACUUUCAGUCGUGAGGAAGGUGUUAAGGUUAAUAACCUUAGCAAUUGACGUUAGCGACAGAAGAAGCACCGGCUAACUCCGUGCCAGCAGCCGCGGUAAUACGGAGGGUGCGAGCGUUAAUCGGAAUUACUGGGCGUAAAGGGCACGCAGGCGGUUAAUUAAGUUGGAUGUGAAAUCCCCGGGCUUAACCUGGGAAUGGCAUUCAAGACUGGUUAGCUAGAGUCUUGUAGAGGGGGUAGAAUUCCAUGUGUAGCGGUGAAAUGCGUAGAGAUGUGGAGGAAUACCGGUGGCGAAGGCGGCCCCUGGACAAAGACUGACGCUCAUGUGCGAAAGCGUGGGGAGCAAACAGGGAUUAGAUACC